GGCCCAUUUUGGUGAAUCUCUUGGCUCGUACAUCGAUGAAGAACGUUGCCAUUCGCGUUUAGUAGUGUGAAUUGCAGAAUGAAGUGAAUCAUCGAAUCUUUGAACGCAAAUUGCACUCUCUGAUAUCCGGAGAGUACGUCUCUGAUAUGUUU
rnacentral:rRNA from 1 species